rnacentral:lncRNA from 1 species
GCCGGCCCUUGUGAGAAGCUGGCAGGCCCAGUCCCAGGUGGAAGCCUGGCCCCUGGCCCGAUGAGCAGGGGCGAUGAGGCAGGGUGGCUGAUCCCAGGCAGGAAGACACCACUGAUUUGGGGCUGAAACAGACACCAGCUCUCCAGGACCAGCUGGUAAGAGCUUCUCCACUGCCCCCGAGCCCUGACAGGAGGACUCCCACAGUGUGCAUGGAAGCCCAGGGAGCUCGGGGGCUACAGAGGCACCAUUGGCUCUGGAGCCUGCAGCCCAGACAGCCCCCUCCAGAUGUAAUGGGGGAAGGAGCCAGGGACUGGGAGGAAUUCAGAGGUCAGAGGAGGAGCAGUAUCAGGAGAUACUGCCCUCCUGCAACUCCUCCUCCCAGCUGCUCUCCCCUCCUGCUAGUGCCCACAAUGGCUCCCAGCUGCCUCCUAUAAGGAAGCUUUAUUAGCCUGCAGCCUGUACUCCUCCACGCAGCAGAGCUGACAGGACCCCAUUAGUCAGCUUAUUCAACCCUUCCCCUGGUGCACAAACCCUUGCCAAGCUUUUCUGGCAUUUUGCUCAGCCUGCUUGGACCCUCCAAGCAGGUAGGAACUCACUGUUUCACAAAGCAGUGUUAUUAGAAAGGUUUCCCUGACCCUAGCCCCCCACAUCUAAUCUUUCUCAAAUGUGGGCAGACUUGUUCCUGGCCCCUUCUCAUUCCACCAGUGCACACAUGCACAUGCUCCCUCUCUCCAUCCAAGCUCCAGGAAUCAACCUCUACCCUGAACCAGGUCCCUGAGGACCACCACGUGGCUGCAACACAGCAGGUGUGGGGCAGGGCACAAGUGGGCUUAAGGGGGGUAUAAGGGCUGGCAGUUUGCUCAUUGAUUCACUCAACAAACAUGUACUGAGCACCUCUAAAGGGCCAGGGCCUGUGCUAGGCACUGCGGUGCCAUGGUGAGCAAAUCCAGAAAUGGACCCUGCCCUCUAGGAGUUCACAGUCCAGAGGAGAAGCCCGAUGCUGAACAGAGAAUCACAUCCGUGAGCAACACAAAAGGCAAGGCAAACCCUGGGCAGAUGCCCCCGGGACUGUGUGUUAUGGGCCUACAGGAAGCCUCUCCCAAUGAAAAAGCAAUUUUUCAGCCAGAACCUCCACCAGUGUCUUUCAAACUGUCUCAAUCAAAAACCUCUGAAAGCCACUGGCCUAGAGUUAGAGGAAGAGUUAGCCAUGAGAAAUGGUGGUGACACAGGUUCCAAAAGAAGAAACAAUAGGAGCCUGGACCUGUGGCCUUCCCUGCCUCCACCUGGGCCUCAACCGUCACGACCACCUGGCCUUUGAGAAAUCAAAUGGCUCACGCUGUGUCUCAGAGCUGCAACGAUCCAACGCCCUCCAUCCUUCAGAGGCUGUCUGAGUCCGGGGACACAACUCCCACCCUCCUCUCCUGCCAGCCGCGGCCCGUGGCUGCUCUCUUCACUUCGUCCCGCUUCGCCCCGACUGUGGAUCUACCCGCUCCCUUCUCCCUCAGUCCCCAAAGCACCAGACUCACAGGCCUGCUGUGUGACCCACUUUUACCGACCUUUCGGGGAGAGUAGAGGGCAUUUGUGACUCAGCUCAGAGCAGGAAACACAUCUCACGUCAACUGUCAGACAGCGCUGCUCCGAAUCCCAUCACAGUGCUCCAGCAGGGGGCGUCCUCACCGGCCGCGGCCACAGCCACGGCUCAACCCGGCCUAGCUCCCAGACACCCUCCUUCCACCGCCUGUUUUCCACCGUCCCCGCCUGCUCUUUCAAGCCAGCAGCAAACAACACCCUAAUCCGUGUCUUUAUUAUUCAAAGACCUUAAGCACUCUUUCCCACCUCGUUCCCAUCUUGAUUAUUUCAGGGAAUGAAUUAGGGAUUCACCUUUACAAUCAAAAAAGUUCUCUCAAAGCCAGGCUACUGGAGUUCUAAUUCUGCCUUCCCACUUUUACUAGCUGUGAAAUCUCAGGAAAGUUACUUAACCUCUCUCUGUCUCAUUUUCCUCAUCUUUAAAAAACAGGAUGAUAAUAUUUAGCUCCUAAGAUGGUUGUGAGGAUUUAAGUGAGCUGAUAUAUCCAAGAAUGUCUAGAACAGCGCGUGGCAGAAUGGGCAUUGCAUAUGGGUUUAAUCUUGUAACUGCCAUGUUUCACCAAUUCUAAGGUGUAUCUCGUUUCUCAUCAUAAGAGCUCUUCCGCUCGUGUGGCAGCUGGGAGUGGCCGUCAUUGCCUGCGCAUACCUAAACUUGGUCAGGGCAGAAUGAUUGCUAGUCACACGUGAAGCAAGAAAACCCCGGCAAUAAAGCUUGCAGAAUGAGUGGCUGAGGCUUGAAAAUAAAUGGUGGAAACAAUAGUGGACAAUCUUUUAAAGAAUGGCACAUUGCCAAUGCUCCUGAUGGCACAGAAGGUGACACCAUGCAGAAAAUCAAGGCUCUGAGUCAAAGAGGGUUUCAGAAAAAUUGGACUCUGAAUGUGAAGAAAUCUGGGGACUAUUUUAGCCAAUUUGUUUUGCCUAUAAUUUCCUUUUAUGCAUGCAAAAGAGCAAUUCUGACUUUAAAGACUGAUAUCUAAAUAAAUCUAAAAUAUCUUUUUUGUGUGUGUGUCUGUGAUACAGUGUCUCGCCCUUUCACCCAGGCUGGAGUGCAGUAGUGCAAUCUCAGCUCACU